CCCAGUUUAAAGCAUGUCUGACUUAGCGUUUUCACAGGUCAGAGUUGAGUUUGAAGAAGGUGAAGACAAUCUCCUGGCAGCAGUGAACUCUAUGGGGAAAGAGACUAUUUUAAGGACGGGCCAGGAAGUUGACACUAGAGGCCUGAAUCAGAAUCAAGUGGAUGUCCCAGAGGAUUCUCAAGUGACAUUCCGCCUCCUGUGGUCCCUCCAAUGACGACGGAGCUAUUCUUUCUCCCUGAAAUGAAUACGGAUUAUAAGUUGUUACCCUGACUGAUACCCUGUGGAUAUAGCAAUGCGCCGAGGUUUAAUUAUGAAGACAAAGUCUGCAAGCUACACGCAGAAAUCAAUAUCAUUAUGUCUAGUCCCGCCUCAUUGAACUCCGUGGGCUAAUGAAGAGGUUUGCAAACUCAGAUUGCCAAAUAAAUUUGAUAUUAUUUUUAGAAGGGGAAAAUAAUUAAGAAAAUUAAAAUAUACCUUGCCGU